CGACGAUGAACCACUUCGGUGGGGAUUAGUGGCGAACGGGUGAGUAACACGUGGGCAAUCUGCCCUUCACUCUGGGACAAGCCCUGGAAACGGGGUCUAAUACCGGAUAUGACGCGCUCGGGCAUCCGAUGUGCGUGGAAAGCUCCGGCGGUGAAGGAUGAGCCCGCGGCCUAUCAGCUUGUUGGUGAGGUAACGGCUCACCAAGGCGACGACGGGUAGCCGGCCUGAGAGGGCGACCGGCCACACUGGGACUGAGACACGGCCCAGACUCCUACGGGAGGCAGCAGUGGGGAAUAUUGCACAAUGGGCGCAAGCCUGAUGCAGCGACGCCGCGUGAGGGAUGACGGCCUUCGGGUUGUAAACCUCUUUCAGCAGGGAAGAAGCGCAAGUGACGGUACCUGCAGAAGAAGCGCCGGCUAACUACGUGCCAGCAGCCGCGGUAAUACGUAGGGCGCGAGCGUUGUCCGGAAUUAUUGGGCGUAAAGAGCUCGUAGGCGGUCUGUCGCGUCGGAUGUGAAAGCCCGGGGCUUAACCCCGGGUCUGCAUUCGAUACGGGCAGACUAGAGUGUGGUAGGGGAGAUCGGAAUUCCUGGUGUAGCGGUGAAAUGCGCAGAUAUCAGGAGGAACACCGGUGGCGAAGGCGGAUCUCUGGGCCAUUACUGACGCUGAGGAGCGAAAGCGUGGGGAGCGAACAGGAUUAGAUACCCUGGUAGUCCACGCCGUAAACGGUGGGCACUAGGUGUUGGCGACAUUCCACGUCGUCGGUGCCGCAGCUAACGCAUUAAGUGCCCCGCCUGGGGAGUAC
rnacentral:rRNA from 1 species